ensembl:lncRNA
GAGUCAUUUCCUCCCAGGGCAUCGGCCUGGUGUAGGAUCAGUUAGGGUCAAAGUAGUGGAAUGGAGUGGUGUUAUUUAUUCGAAUUUUUAUGACAUGGCGGGACAUAGGUGUAGGGUUAGUUGGUGGUGCAUUUUUUCCCCCUUUCCCCCUUUAGAAUUUGGGGCACAAAAACUAACGUGAUUGACCACACACUCCCGCACAAUAGGUGGCGGCAUGUACAAACAAAAUGUGCGAACAGACGAUACCAAAGAAGAAGAUGAAGAUGAAGAAGACGGGUUUGACAGACGUGAUCCGCUAGAACGCGCCUUCGUCGCCGUUCGGGAUUAUGCAUAUCACAGUGCGAAAAGCAGCAGAUGGCCGUUUGGUUUUAUCCCAGUGCCAGAAGGACCACUUGUAUCAUUGCCCCUUCUGCCAGCCCUCAAUUUUCAAGCCCCGAGACUAUGCCAGUGUGUUGACACACAUUGAGUCGCACAGAUUGAAGGCUGUGCUGCAUAGAGAGUUCACAAUAUUCAUAUGCCAUCUGGAGUGCAGAGAAGCAAAGCAUUUCCACUGCCCAUAUUGCCCCAAGACUUAUGUAAAUAGGAGUGAUUUUACCAAACACAUUCCACAAUGUGAGUCAGUAUGUUAUCGAGCCCCAGGUUCAACAGCGAGAGCCCCAGAUGUAACCAGUGCAUCAGCGAGAGCCCCAGAUGUGACCAGUGCAUCAGCGAGAGCCCCAGAUGUGACCAGUGCAUCGGCGAGAGCCCCAGAUGUGACCAGUGCAUCGGCGAGAGCCCCAGAUGUGACCAGUGCAUCGGCGAGAGCCCCAGAUGUGACCAGUGCAUCGGCGAGAGCCCCAGAUGUGACCAGUGC